CGUGUAGGCGGCCUGGUAGGUCUCGUGUGAAAUCCCGCGGCUCAACCGCGGACCCGCACGGGAAACCCCCAGGCUCGAGUCCGGAAGAGGAGAGUGGAAUUCCUGGUGUAGCGGUGAAAUGCGCAGAUAUCAGGAAGAACACCCGUAGCGAAAGGCGGCUCUCUGGGACGGUACUGACGCUGAGACGCGAAAGCGUGGGGAGCAAACA
rnacentral:rRNA from 1 species